rnacentral:lncRNA from 1 species
ACACACAAACAGAACCGUUUUCAUGCACUUCUUUAAUAUAUCUGUUUUUCCAUAUUCACAACAAAUACAUUAAGCUCUUUCAUCAUCUUUUUAUAUAAUACAGUUCUUAAAUUAUUUCAUUUUUUUUUUUUUUUACACAACAUUUUUUUCUCAGAAUGUCAUUCUAUCAAAAUGUCUUCUUAAUCCCUUUAUUUCUUCAUUUUAAAACAUUUUAUAUAUCUCAUUCCAUGUUGAGAGUCACCAUGCCUCCUAUUUAAAAACGGCCAGUAUCUCCUUUAUACAGCUAUUUACAGACGACAACAAUCAUCUUCCAGAAGGAUGAAGGUCUCAGUUGGAGGGGGCUUGUGGGAAACGUAGGCUUAAGGUGCAGGCAAGGACAGAUGGGGGGGUUACAGAAAAUAAAAAGAACAGCGAGAAAGGUUAGAAACCGUCUUACAGUAAAGUAAUACAAAUAGAAGUAAACCAUAACAGGCAAAGCUUUGAUGGAGAGAGGGACAACUCAACAGGUUGUCAGUAGAGUCCCAUAGCUUUGAUGGAGAGAGGGACAACUCAACAGGUUGUCAGUAGAGUCUCAUAGCUUUGAUGGAGAGAGGGACAACUCAACAGGUUGUCAGUAGAGUCUCAUAGCUUUGAUGGAGAGAGGGACAACUCAACAGGUUGUCAGUAGAGUCCCAUAGCUUUGAUGGAGAGAGGACAACUCAACAGGUUGUCAGUAGAGUCCCAUAGCUUUGAUGGAGAGAGGACAACAGGUUGUCAGAGUCUCAUAGCUUUGAUGGAGAGAGGGACAACUCAACAGGUUGUCAGUAGAGUCUCAUAGCUUUGAUGGAGAGAGGGACAACUCAACAGGUUGUCAGUAGAGUCUCAUAGCUUUGAUGGAGAGAGGGACAACUCAACAGGUUGUCAGUAGAGUCUCAUAGCUUUGAUGGAGAGAGGGACAACUCAACAGGUUGUCAGUAGAGUCUCAUAGCUUUGAUGGAGAGAGGGACAACUCAACAG